AAUUUAUUUUCUCACGGUUCUGGAGGCUGGAGUCAGGGAUGGGGUGGCCAGCCUGGCUGGAACCUGGUGAGAGCUCUCUUCUUGGUUGCAGACAGCUGCCUUCUUAUUGCGUAUUUGCAUGGUCUUUCCUUGGUAUGGUGAAGACAGGGAGAGAGCACUGCCUCUUCUUAUAAGGCCAGCAAUGCUAUCAGAUUAGGACCUCAUCCUUAUGAACUCAUUUAACCUUAUUUUUCCUCCUAAAAGCUCCAUCUCCAAAUGCAGUCACAUUGUGAGUUAGAUCCUCAACAUAUCUUUUUUUUUUUUUGGCCACCCUGUGGCAUAUGGAGUUCCUGGGCGAGGGAUCCGAGCUGCAGUUGCAGCAACACGAUAUCCUUUAACUCACUAUGCCAGGGAUUGAACUUACAUCUUGGUGCUGCAGAGACGUCACUGAGCCUGUUGCGCCCCACUGGGAACUCUCAACAUACGACUUUUAUUUGGAGGUGGCAUAAUUCAGCAUAUAUUUAUAUCUAUAUUUAUAUUUUACAUUUAAUUUUAUAUACAAACAUCCAGGUGUUCUACUAGUUUUUCUUCUCUCUCUCUCUCUUUUUGGUUUGGCCAUUCCCCACAAGUGCCCAGGCCAGGGAUCGAACCCACGUCACAGCUGUGACUAGAGCCACAGCAGUGACAACUCUGGAUCCUUAACCCACUGAGCCAUGACGACUCGCCCAAUUUUCUCUGUUUGGAUUUUUCUUUAUUGCUGUCCUUUAUUGCAGUAUGGGAAAUUGCCAUAAGGGAAACAGCAGUGAAAUUGCCAAAGUUUCUUCCACUCUCCACUUUCCCUAUUCUCAAGGCUCUAAGAAUUGAAGCUAAGAGAUAACCUUGGGUGUGGGGCAGGGACCACUGAACUAGAAUUCAGAACUCACAGAUUCAACUCAUGAUUCACUAAUGUGAUUCUCAGACUCUCUCUCUCCCCUUAAAACUUAAAUUCUUCUAUCUGUCCAAUGAAAUUAAUAAUCUAUAAUCCUGUGAACGUGUGAAGAAAGAAUAGUUAAGAAUUUGUCAUGUAAUGCUAGUUCUUUGUAAUAAAAAUUUGAAAAUGAAAUGCAAAGAUUUUAAUCCAAAGGCAUAAAACUGUUAAAAUGUAACAGACAUUCUCAGCACUUACCAUGUGCUCUAAAAACAUUAACUCACUCGACCUCAACAACAAUGGUAGGAGAUGGGUUAUCUGUUAUCACUACCUUCUCCAUUUGGUAGAAACACAGAGAAGCAGAGUAACUGGUCACUGGCUUUAUAGCUAAUUAGUGACAGAGCCAGGAGUCACAUCAUAGAGACCAGUUACUCUGUGGUCACAAACUACGAAAUUACUGCUUGUUCCUUCUAAUCAGGUCUCUUCCUUGUUCAAAAACCUCCAAUGGCUCUUGAAGCCUAAAGUAAUUAGUACAACUGAGUUGCUCAGUGAUAAAGACCCUCCAGUGACUUUUCUUUGCCACGAAAAUCCUUUCUUCAGGGAGUUCCCUGUUGGUCAGUGGUUAGGAUUUGAUGCUUUCACUGCUGUAGCCCAGGUUUGAUCCCUGGUCUGGGAACUGAGAUCCUACUUCAAGCCGCUGCAUUCUGUGGCCAAAAACAAAUUAAAUAAAUAAAUAAAUAAGUCUUGAUAAAUUUAAAAGACAUUGAAAUCAUACAAAAUAUAUAUUUUAUAAAUUUAAAAGAUAUUGAAAUCAUACAAGAUAUAUAUAUAAAAUAAAGUCGAUAAAUUUAAGAUAUUGAAAUCAUACAAAAUACAUAUUUUAUAAAUUUAAAAGAUAUUGAAAUCAUACAAGAUAUAUAUAUAUAAAAUAAAUAAAGUCUUGAUAAAUUUAAGAUAUUGAAAUCAUACAAAAUAUAUAUUUUUAAAUCAUACAGGAGUUCCUGUCGUGGCGCAUGGUUAAGAGGGCAGGCUCUGGCCUCAGACUGCACAGGCUUUUAUCUAGGCUUGGCCCCUGUUUUAAUCACCUCAUCUAUAAAAUGGGGACAUAGUAGUAUCUUAUGAUGUUGUAAGACCUAAACUACAUAAUACGUGAAAAGCAAUUAGCAUUUUAAUAAGUAGCUGGAAAAUAAGUAAGUGCAAGCUAUAUGGGAGGUAAUAGGUUCAGAUCAUUGUUUGCUGAAUGAAUGGGACUGAAUAGAACAAUAGUAAUUUGAGUAAUCUUUCUAGAAAUGGAUGGUACUUUCCUGUUGAAGCCAACAGCAACUCUUUAUAAAAUGACCAGCUAGCAUUAGAAGUGCAAUGGCCUUGGAGCCAUUUACCUCUGCAAAAUUAACUGGCCUGAACUGGGAUCGACCACUGACAUUGGCCUCUUCAGUCCCACCAUUUUCUGCAAUGGAAUGAAGUGGCCCCAGCUGCAGGCUGGUACCUUAUAUAAUGGGUAUCUCUAAGGACAGAGAACAAUGCAGUUCCCCAGAGGGGGCACUGGCUCACCAUGUAAGGUGGUUACCCAGUUUCCCAGCCAUGAACAAUGAAAAUGAAUAGGAAAUUCAUAAAUAAAUGGCUAGAGGAGAAGGCUCUCUGUUAAAUUCUUAGGUUUUAGACCAGUAGUCUCCGUCUUCAUGGAAAGACUCCUGUAGCAAUACUAGAAGAUUUUGAAGGUAAUCAACCCUGGGUUCUAGAAACAUCUCUGCCAUUAACUAACCAGCUGCAAAACCUUGAGCAAACUGUUGAGUCUCAUCUUGCAUUGACACAACAGGGGACCGAAAUAGCUGCUGUGAAAGGCCCUUUUUGACAUUCUCUUCCCCACAGGCAGAGUCACAUUUUCAGAACUCAGGGCUGUUUACUGCAUUAAAAAAGGGGGUGGGGGACAUAACCAGGCAAUGGAAAUAAUUGCAAAAUGUGUCAGUUAAGAGAAGCAAAAGGACCAUGGUGGGGCUCAGACUCAGUUGACACCCUGGUGCUACUACGGGAGGGGAGGGUGGUGGUCCUGAUGAAGACCUGGAAGUAUAGGGAUGAGGGAAUAGAGUCCAGGCAAAAAUUGUAGGCUAACUGGGCCAGAGCCUGGCCAGGGGCAAAUAUGGCAGUAAAGGGCCUCCCAGGGAACUAUGAGCAUUGCCAGUAAGUGCUCUGAUGACCCUCCCCCAGCCCCACAGGCUCUUGCCCUUCCCCCCUUCACUGGAGUCAAUGAACUCAGUGCCCAUUUCAAAAUCCACCUCCUUGGAGUUCCCGCUGUGGUGCAAUGGGAUCCCAGGCAUCUCUGGAGUGCUGGGAUGAAGGUUCAAUCCCAAGCUCAGCACAGUAGGUUAAGGAUUUGGCGUUGCUGCAGCUGCAGCUUAGUAGCAACUGUGGCUCAAGUGUGAUCUCUGGCCUGGGAGCUCCAUAUGCUUUGGGGUGGCCAAAAAAAAAAAAAAAAAAAAAUCCACCUCCUUCUCCAGGACACCGCUCUUCCCCCGCCCCCGGACCCACAGACACACACACACAGACACACACACACACACACACAUACUUCCUCUAAAGGUUGAUGGUACUUACUCUGUGCCAUUUCUGCGACACUUUCAAGAGGAACACAGGGCUGCCUGAACCUCCUAAGAACAGUUGUAUCCUCUCCAGGAGACCCAAGGCUGUUGGCUCCUUUUUGCCUCCCAGGCAUCCAAUACAGUAGUGCUCAGAAAAUAUUUGUGGCUCUGAGAUUGAGUGACUCAGGCAGGCACCCCACAGGGUGGAGCGGAGAGUAGAGUUUUAUGGGUUUUAAAUAUGAACCAUACCAUGUUAUCUGAGACUAUUACCUCUUUGCUCACCCUGGAAACCUUCAGUUCUAGUUGGAUUUGCUGGGAGCUGAAUGGAGUUUUGUUCCUUUUCAUGCUGAAAACCAUAAUCCAAUGUUUACAUUAAAAAACAUUCACCUAGCACCUACUUCAUGAUCCGCAGUGGUCCAAACACUUUACAAAUGUUGACCCAUUGACUAUUCCUCCAACUAGAUGUGGAAAGAGAGGCACUGAAACACUGUCACUUGCCCUGGGAUCAGAACUAAUAGGCGCCAGAGCUGGGAUUUAAACCCAGGCCCUCUGGUUCCAGAGUACAUGCUCUGCCUGAAAUUUACCUGAGUGGCAGAAAUCUUCAAGAGCAGAAAGAAAAAAAAUGACAUUGAUAUAUUUGUUUCAAAGGAAUUUUUUUUUUCUUGUGUUCCCCUUUCCUUCCUCAUUCAAAGCAAAAUGUUCUGAAGCCAACAGUCUUUUUUCACACCUGAGAGAGCAGGCGGCUCGUUUUCUUUUUUGCUUUGGCAAUCAAAAUGGAAGAGGAAACGAGUGUGGUUUCAUCACUGGUGCUUUCGGGGUGUGUGCUGCGCGUGUGGUCCUGCCUCCCUCCUGGCAGAUCUGGCUGCCCCCCACCCCCUUCCUUCAGGCCUUGUUGCCUCAGGUCCCGGGGACGACUGAACAGUCUGCCUUUCCCCUACAACACUGGGAUGUGGACCAGCCUUUCUGGCAAUUCCGCUUAACCAGACUUUGAGCUUCGAGGGUCUUCUUCA
rnacentral:lncRNA from 1 species